GAUGAACGCUGGCGGCGUGCCUAAUACAUGCAAGUCGAGCGAACAGACGAGGAGCUUGCUCCUCUGACGUUAGCGGCGGACGGGUGAGUAACACGUGGAUAACCUACCUAUAAGACUGGGAUAACUUCGGGAAACCGGAGCUAAUACCGGAUAAUAUAUUGAACCGCAUGGUUCAAUAGUGAAAGACGGUUUUGCUGUCACUUAUAGGUGGAUCCGCGCCGCAUUAGCUAGUUGGUAAGGUAACGGCUUACCAAGGCAACGAUGCGUAGCCGACCUGAGAGGGUGAUCGGCCACACUGGAACUGAGACACGGUCCAGACUCCUACGGGAGGCAGCAGUAGGGAAUCUUCCGCAAUGGGCGAAAGCCUGACGGAGCAGCGCCGCGUGAGUGAUGAAGGUCUUCGGAUCGUAAAACUCUGUUAUUAGGGAAGAACAAAUGUGUAAGUAACUAUGCACGUCUUGACGGUACCUAAUCAGAAAGCCACGGCUAACUACGUG
rnacentral:rRNA from 1 species